GACGAACGCUGGCGGCGUGCCUAACACAUGCAAGUCGAACGGACAGGCCCUGCUUUUGUGUGGUGCUCGUGUGGCGAACGGGUGAGUAACACGUGAGUAACCUGCCCUUGACAUUGGGAUAACUUCAGGGAACUGGGGCUCAUACCCGAUAGGAUCUCCUGCUGCAUGGUGUUGGUAGGAAAGUUUCGGCGGUUGGGGAUGGACUCGCGGGUUAUGAGCUUGUUUGGGGGGUAGUGGCUUACCAGGGCUGUGACGGGUAGCCGGCCUGAGAGGGUUGCCGGCGACAUUGGUACUGAGAUACGGCGCAGACGCCUACGGGAGGCAGCAGUGGAGAGUAUUGCACAAUGGGCGGAAGCCUGAUACAGAAACGCCGGGUGCGGGAUGACGGCCUUCGGGUUAAAAACAGCUGUCGCCUGUGACGAAGCGUGAGUGACGGUAAUGGGUAAAGAAGCACCGGCUAACUACGUG
rnacentral:rRNA from 1 species